CCUACGGGUGGCAGCAGUGAGGAAUAUUGGUCAAUGGACGAGAGUCUGAACCAGCCAAGUAGCGUGAAGGAUGACUGCCCUAUGGGUUGUAAACUUCUUUUAUAUGGGAAUAAAAUGUUCCACGUGUGGGAUUUUGUAUGUACCAUAUGAAUAAGGAUCGGCUAACUCCGUGCCAGCAGCCGCGGUAAUACGGAGGAUCCGAGCGUUAUCCGGAUUUAUUGGGUUUAAAGGGAGCGGAGGGGGAUUGUUAAGUCAGUUGGGAAAGUUUGCGGCUCAACCGUAAAAUUGCAGUUGAAACUGGCAGUCUUGAGUUCAGUAGAAGUAGGCGGAAUUCGUGGUGUAGCGGUGAAAUGCAUAGAUAUCACGAAGAACUCCGAUUGCGAAGGCAGCUCACUGGACUGCAACUGACACUGAGGCUCGAAAGUGUGGGUAUCAAACAGGAUUAGAUACCCUUGUAGUC
rnacentral:rRNA from 1 species